rnacentral:rRNA from 1 species
GAUGAACGCUGGCGGCGUGCCUAAUACAUGCAAGUCGAGCGAACAGACGAGGAGCUUGCUCCUCUGGCGUUAGCGGCGGACGGGUGAGUAACACGUGGAUAACCUACCUAUAAGACUGGGAUAACUUCGGGAAACCGGAGCUAAUACCGGAUAAUAUAUUGAACCGCAUGGUUCAAUAGUGAAAGACGGUUUUGCUGUCACUUAUAGAUGGAUCCGCGCCGCAUUAGCUAGUUGGUAAGGUAACGGCUUACCAAGGCGACGAUGCGUAGCCGACCUGAGAGGGUGAUCGGCCACACUGGAACUGAGACACGGUCCAGACUCCUACGGGAGGCAGCAGUAGGGAAUCUUCCGCAAUGGGCGAAAGCCUGACGGAGCAACGCCGCGUGAGUGAUGAAGGUCUUCGGAUCGUAAAACUCUGUUAUUAGGGAAGAACAAAUGUGUAAGUAACUACGCACGUCUUGACGGUACCUAAUCAGAAAGCCACGGCUAACUACGUG